CCCUUAGAUGUUCUGGGCCGCACGCGCGCUACACUGAUGCAUUCAACGAGUCUAAAACCUGCUCUGAUAGGGGUGGGUAAUCUUUUGAAUGUGCAUCGUGAUUGGGAUAGAUGAUUGCAAUUUUUCAACUUCAACGAGGAAUGCCUAGUAAACGCAAGUCAUCAGCUUGCAUUGAUUACGUCCCUGCCCUUUGUACACACCGCCCGUCGCUCCUACCGAUUGAAUGAUCCGAUGAAUAUCAUGGAUUGAGGAUGCAAGUAGGUUCGCCUAUCUUCAUCUUCGAGAAGUGAAGUAAAUCUUAUCAUUUAGAGGAAGGAGAAGUCGUAACA
rnacentral:rRNA from 1 species